rnacentral:rRNA from 1 species
CCUACGGGUGGCAGCAGUGGGGAAUAUUGGACAAUGGGGGGAACCCUGAUCCAGCGACGCCGCGUGAGUGAAGAAGUAUUUCGGUAUGUAAAGCUCUAUUAGCAGGGAAGAAAAUGACGGAACUUGACCAAGAAGCCCCGGCGAAAUAUGUGCCAGAAGCCGCGGUAAUACGUAGGGGGCAGGCGUUACCCGGAUUCAUUGGGUGUAAAGGGGGCGUAGACGGUGCAGCAAGUCUGGUGUGAAAGGUCGGGGCCCAACCCCGGGACUGCAUUGGAAACUGUUGAACUGGAGUACAGGAGGGGUAAGCGGAAUUCCAGGUGUAGCGGUGAAAUGCGUAGAUAUAAGGAGGAACACCAGUGGCGAAGGCGGCUUACUGGACUGUAACUGACGUUGAGGCUCGAAAGCGUGGGGAGCAAACAGGAUUAGAUACCCGGGUAGUC